rnacentral:lncRNA from 1 species
CUGGUGUCAAGCACCAUCAAACCGAUGCAAUCCCGAGCUGCCACAUGCCUGUGCGCGUUCCCAACUUCAAACAAUCUAGGUCGGUAAUUUACCGACAUCAAAAUUGUUGCGCCUCCAUAUGUUUCUCGGCACCAAACCACAUCGGAAUAGGUAAUCUCCCAAGCACCUGUGUACUUCUCUCCACCAAAAUAGGCUAAAGUGGUGACCUCCCUGUGCUCCCUGUGCCUCCCAUCUCAAGAGCUACAAGAUGAGUAGCUGUCCAUGCUCCUUAUGCCUCCCUCACCA